ACUUAUAUUCAAAUAAUUCCAUAAAUCAUCUGGAGUAUUAUACAGAUGAAAACGAGGAAGAUGAAGACAAGCUAAGUAAUAAUGAAGAGGAGAAUAAUCCUGGGAAUAUGAACAAAACAGAGUAUGAUGAUGUGGAAGGAGAUUUCCCUGUGCUGGAAGGAUACACUUACGAUGAUGCUGAAUCAGUACCUGUCAUCAGAGGUGACCUGGAUGGUGCUCCAUCUGACAAAAUUCCUGCUAGUGAUUCUGGCAUUACCGAAGACAGUAAAAGUAUGUUGUAGAGCAAGAACUUGAAAUACUCCUCUUCAGAGAGCAGAGCUGGAAAGAUUUCAUCAUUACCUUUCAAUAAUUCAACAAGUUGCAGCCGCCAUUCACAAACUAAUAAUACUUUUCCAGGUUGGAAGAUAAGCUGUAAUACAAUGGCCACGUGUUUUUCAUUCAAAAUGUAAAUCUAGUGUUUUUUUUUGCUUUCUGUUGACAACUGCCAGAUCAGAAAAAACAAAUGGAUAAUAUGACAUUAAUGCAUCAGUGAAAUAUAACCACCAUCAUGGGGUUCCUUUAUUAUACAUGCAACUUCCUUAAUCUGGUAUCAGUGUAGUUGCUUCAAGGAAUGAGAUUUCACUUGAAAACAUUUUUUUCAGUUAUAAUACUGUACCUGCCAUUUCUUUUGGCACUUCUUCUUGUUUGAAAUCUUCCCAGAUGGCACCAUUUCAGCUCCUGUUUGUGCAUCUGGAGCAUUUCUCCAUGGGCCUCCGCUGAAAACAGGCUCUGUGGAACCUAGUCU